AAGUCGUAACAAGGUUUCCGUAGGUGAACCUGCGGAAGGAUCAUUAAAAUACCGAUAAACACCACUGCUUUUGGCACUAAACACACAAACCUAUUUUUUUUAAUACUUUCUAAGCUUCACUUUUUGUGAAAUUUAAAUAAAAAAAGCAAAA
rnacentral:misc_RNA from 1 species